rnacentral:rRNA from 1 species
UUCCGGUUGAUCCUGCCGGAGGCCCUUGCAAUUGGGAUCCGAUUUAGCCAUGCUAGUCGCACGAGUUCAGACUCGUGGCGAAUAGCUCAGUAACACGUGGCCAAACUACCCUUCGGAACACAAUACCCUCGGGAAACUGAGGCUAAUAGUGUAUACCAUACCACCACUGGAAUGAGUGGUAUGCCAAACGCUCCGGCGCCGAAGGAUGUGGCUGCGGCCGAUUAGGUAGACGGUGGGGUAACGGCCCACCGUGCCAAUAAUCGGUAUGGGUCAUGAGAGUGAGAACCCAGAGACGGAAUCUGAGACAAGAUUCCGGGCCCUACGGGGCGCAGCAGGCGCGAAACCUUUACACUGCACGACAGUGCGAUAGGGGGAUCCCAAGUGCACAGGCAUAGCGCCUGUGCUUUUCGGUACCCUAAGGCGGUACCAGAAUAAGGGCUGGGCAAGACCGGUGCCAGCCGCCGCGGUAAUACCGGCAGCCCAAGUGAUGGCCGAUCUUAUUGGGCCUAAAGCGUCCGUAGCUGGCCGCGCAAGUCCAUCGGGAAAUCCACCUGCUCAACAGGUGGGCGCCCGGUAGAAACUGCGUGGCUUGGGACCGGAAGGCGCGACGGGUACGUCCGGGGUAGGAGUGAAAUCCCGUAAUCCUGGACGGACCGCCGAUGGCGAAAGCACGUCGCGAGAACGGAUCCGACAGUGAGGGACGAAAGCCAGGGUCUCGAACCGGAUUAGAUACCCGGGUAGUCCUGGCCGUAAACAAUGUCUGCUAGGUGUGGCUCCCACUACGAGUGGGUGCUGUGCCGCAGGGAAGCCGCUAAGCAGACCGCCUGGGAAGUACGUCCGCAAGGAUGAAACUUAAAGGAAUUGGCGGGGGAGCACUACAACCGGAGGAGCCUGCGGUUUAAUUGGAUUCAACGCCGGGA